rnacentral:rRNA from 1 species
AUGAGAAAUGGAUCUAAGCAACACUGGCCAGGCUAUGGGGGCGGUUACUCCUUGGUGGCGGCGGUCUUCUUCUUGGGGGACUUGGUGGAGGUCUUCUUCUUGGGCGACUUGGCCUCCUUCUCGGCGGCGGCGGGGGACUUCUUGGGGAGCAGCACGGCGUUGAUGUUGGGGAUGACGCCGCCGUGGGCGAUGGUGACGCCGGCGAGCAGCUUGCCGAGCUCCUGGUCGUUGCGGACGGCGAGCAGCAGGUGGCGCGGGAUGAUGCGGGUCUUCUUGUUGUCCUUGGCCGCGACAGCGGCGAGGUAG